rnacentral:rRNA from 1 species
UACAGAGGUCUCAAGCGUUGUUCGGAUUCAUUGGGCGUAAAGGGUGUGUAGGUGGCGCCGUAAGUCGGGUGUGAAAUCUCGGGGCUUAACUCCGAAACUGCAUUCGAUACUGCCGUGCUUGAGGACUAGAGAGGAGACUGGAAUUUACGGUGUAGCGGUGAAAUGCGUAGAUAUCGUAAGGAAGACCAGUGGCGAAGGCGGGUCUCUGGACAGUUCCUGACGCUGAGGCACGAAGGCCAGGGGAGCAAACGGG